rnacentral:tRNA from 1 species
GCCCAAGUGGCGGAAUGGUAGACGCAGGGGAUUCAAAAUCCCCCGCCCUUGCGGGCGUGCCGGUUCGAGUCCGGCCUUGGGUACCA